AGAGAGAGACAUGCGCGCAUAUCAAUAAGCGGAGGAAAAGAAACUAACAAGGAUUCCCCUAGUAACGGCGAGUGAAGCGGGAAGAGCUCAAAUUUGAAAUCUUAAAGGGUUUCCCUUUACGAAUUGUAGUUUAAAGAAGUGUUUUCUGUUGAGGUUUUGGUAAAAGUUCUUUGGAAUAGGACAUCAUAGAGGGUGAGAAUCCCGUAUUUGACCUUUGCUUUCAACUUUGUGAUACACUUUCAAAGAGUCGGAUUGUUUGGGAAUGCAGUCCAAAAUGGGUGGUAAAUUUCAUCUAAAGCUAAAUAUUGGCGAGAGACCGAUAGCGAACAAGUACCGUGAGGGAAAGAUGAAAAGAACUUUGAAAAGAGAGUUAAACAGUACGUGAAAUUGUCAAAAGGGAAGCGUUUGACACCAGUGUUGUUUUUCUGAAAAUCAAUUAAAGAACUGUUUAUGCUAAGUUGUUUAGACUUUAUCAGCUAUCUGUUUAGUUUUGAGCUUUUCUUUAAUGCACUUUUCAGUUAACAGAGUCAACAUCAAUUUCUUUUGCUGUAAAAAAGCUUGAGGAAGGUGGCUUGAGAUUCGUCUUAAGUGCUUAUAGCCUCUUGCCUAUGCAGUCGGAGAGACUGAGGUCUGCAGCGUAGAUCCUUCGGGGCUAAAUGCAUUUGUGCUAAGUUAUAGCAUUUUAUAGACAACUUGUUGACUAUGAUUUGUCUUGUAGCUUACUCGCUUAUGUUAUUUUACCUACGCUUAGGAUGUUGACGCAUGAGAUAUACGC
rnacentral:rRNA from 1 species